UGGGGAAUACUGCACAAUGGAGGAAACUCUGAUGCAGCGACGCCGCGUGAGCGAUGAAGUAUUUCGGUAUGUAAAGCUCUAUCAGCAGGGAAGAUAAUGACGGUACCUGAGUAAGAAGCUCCGGCUAAAUACGUGCCAGCAGCCGCGGUAAUACGUAUGGAGCAAGCGUUAUCCGGAUUUACUGGGUGUAAAGGGAGUGUAGGCGGCUUUGCAAGUCAGAUGUGAAAGCCCGGGGCUCAACCCCGGGACUGCAUUGGAAACUGUCAAUCUAGAGUACCGGAGGGGUAAGUGGAAUUCCUAGUGUAGCGGUGAAAUGCGUAGAUAUUAGGAGGAACACCAGUGGCGAAGGCGGCUUACUGGACGGUAACUGACGUUGAGGCUCGAAAGCGUGGGGAGCAAACAGGGAUUAGAUACCCUGGGUAGU
rnacentral:rRNA from 1 species